rnacentral:rRNA from 1 species
ACGAACGCUGGCGGCAUGCCUAACACAUGCAAGUCGCACGAGACCUUCGGGUCUAGUGGCGCACGGGUGCGUCACGCGUGGGAACCUGCCCUUAGGUUCGGAAUAACUCCCCGAAAGGGGUGCUAAUACCGGAUAAUGUCUUCGGACCAAAGAUUUAUCGCCUUUGGAUGGGCCCGCGUUGGAUUAGCUAGUUGGUAGGGUAAAAGCCUACCAAGGCGACGAUCCAUAGCUGGUCUGAGAGGAUGAUCAGCCACACUGGGACUGAGACACGGCCCAGACUCCUACGGGAGGCAGCAGUGGGGAAUAUUGGACAAUGGGCGAAAGCCUGAUCCAGCAAUGCCGCGUGAGUGAUGAAGGCCUUAGGGUUGUAAAGCUCUUUUACCCGGGAUGAUAAUGACAGGACCGGGAGAAUAAGCUCCGGCUAACUCCGU